rnacentral:misc_RNA from 1 species
UUUUGAGAAAUCAUCAACAAACUGAGAAGAAAGCUUGUAAUCUUGUUCGCAAAUUCUCUGAAGAACGCUGUAAAUUUCUCUAUUCUGGUGCAGGAUCUUCUCUAAAUUCUGUUGGGACACAAAAACAUGGCUAUGCUUCAGGAUCAGAAUAUCAAUAUACAUUUUGAUGGUGCUUCUUUGUUUGGAAAGAAUGAAACUUCCAAAGCCCUGAAGAAAGGAGGAGGACUUGGCGGAAGAAAAGCACUUAAUGACAUCUCCAACUCAGCAAAGCCUUCUUCUCUGCAGGCAUCAAAGAAAAACUCCACAAGUGUUAUUUCCAUCGGGAAAGAUCUUAAUGCCACCAAAAACAAAUUUAUUGCUGGGACAAAGGAUAACCUUGCUAAAGUACCUGACAAGGGUGGCAGGAAAG